UUUGGUGGUCACAGCGCGAGCAAAACACCCGGCUCCAUUCCGAACCCGGCCGUUAAGUGCCGUUGCGCCGAUGGUACUGCGUCUCAAGACGUGGGAGAGUAGGUCACCGCCAAACCUAGCAAGAACCACAAACCGUCUCUCUAAACGAUCACAGCGA
rnacentral:rRNA from 1 species